CAUGCAGUCGACGAGAGAGGGUUUUGGCCUGAGUAGCGUGGCGGACGGGUGAGUAAUGCGUGGGAACCGACCUCGUCGUGGGGGAUAACCCGGGGAAACUCGGGCUAAUACCGCACACGACCUACGGGUGAAAGGGGGCGUUAGCUCCUGUGGUGAGACGGGCUCACGUCCGAUUAGCUAGUUGGUGGGGUAAGGGCCUACCAAGGCGACGAUCGGUAGCUGGUCUGAGAGGAUGAUCAGCCACACUGGGACUGAGACACGGCCCAGACUCCUACGGGAGGCAGCAGUGGGGAAUAUUGGACAAUGGGCGCAAGCCUGAUCCAGCAAUGCCGCGUGGGUGAAGAAGGCCUGCGGGUUGUAAAGCCCUUUCGGUGGGGAAGAAAGGUCCAAGGUGAAGAAUUUUGGGCUGUGACGUUACCCACAGAAGAAGCACCGGCUAACUCCGUGCCAGCAG
rnacentral:rRNA from 1 species